UUAGGCUGAGACGUGAUGCCGAGCCGAUUCAGGUGAAGUCAGUGAUCCUAUGCUGCCGAGAAAAGCCUCUAGCGAGUUCUUAGCGGCCCGUACCCCAAACCGACACAGGUGGUCAGGUAGAGAAUACCGAGGCGAUCGGGCGAACUGUGGUUAAGGAACUCGGCAAAUUGCCCCCGUAACUUAGGGAGAAGGGGGGCCGGAGACGUGAAGCCCCGCGCGGGUGGAGCGUUGUAUGGCCGCAGAGAGCAGGGGGAAGCGACUGUUUACUAAAAACACAGGUCCAUGCGAAGAAGUAAUUCGAUGUAUAUGGACUGACGCCUGCCCGGUGCUGGAACGUUAAGGGGACCUGUUAGCUCUUCGGGGCGAAGCGGAGAACUUAAGCGCCAGUAAACGGCGGUGGUAACUAUAACCAUCCUAAGGUAGCGAAAUUCCUUGUCGGGUAAGUUCCGACCUGCACGAAUGGCGUAACGACUUCCCCACUGUCUCAACCACAGGCCCGGCGAAAUUGCAGUACGAGUAAAGAUGCUCGUUACGCGCGGCAGGACGGAAAGACCCCGGGACCUUUACUAUAGCUUGACAUUGGUACUCGAAUUAGCUUGUGUAGGAUAGGUGGGAGCCGGUGAAGUCCAUACGCCAGUAUGGGUGGAGGCAAUCUUGAAAUACCACUCUGGUUGAUUUGGGUAUCUAACUUCGGACCGUUAUCCGGUUCAGGGACAGUGUCUGGUGGGUAGUUUAACUGGGGCGGUUGCCUCCUAAAAGGUAACGGAGGCGCCCAAAGGUUCCCUCAGCCUGGUUGGCAAUCAGGUGUUGAGUGCAAGUACACAAGGGAGCUUGACUGUGAGACUGACAGGUCGAGCAGGGACGAAAGUCGGGACUAGUGAUCCGGCACUUGCGAGUGGAAGCGGUGUCGCUCAACGGAUAAAAGGUACCCCGGGGAUAACAGGCUGAUCUUCCCCAAGAGUCCAUAUCGACGGGAUGGUUUGGCACCUCGAUGUCGGCUCGUCGCAUCCUGGGGCUGUAGCAGGUCCCAAGGGUUGGGCUGUUCGCCCAUUAAAGCGGUACGCGAGCUGGGUUUAGAACGUCGUGAGACAGUUCGGUCCCUAUCCGCCGUGCGCGUAGGAUACUUGAGAAGGGCUGUCCCUAGUACGAGAGGACCGGGACGGACGAACCUCUGGUGUGCCAGUUGUCCCGCCAGGGGCACGGCUGGUUAGCUACGUUCGGAAGGGAUAACCGCUGAAAGCAUCUAAGCGGGAAGCCUGCUUCAAGAUGAGGUAUCCCACCCACUUUGUGGGGUAAGGCCCCCAGCUAGACGACUGGGUUGAUAGGCCGGAAAUGUAAGCCCGGUAACGGGUUCAGUUGACCGGUACUAAUAGGCCGAGGACUUG
rnacentral:rRNA from 1 species